UCGCCCCCUGCCGCCACGGGCUGGGCAGGAACCUCCUCGUCAAUGACACACGAGUCUUGAGACUCGGCCAACGUGGACAGCACCGCACGUAACAUCGUGGUCGAAAUUUGGCCAAAUUCCCAAAGAACUCAGCCAGCUGCGUCGUCGCCCUGUGCCACACGGGGACAGCUGCCGCUGGGGGUGCCCUCGCAAUGGCCGCGUCGAGAUGCAAGGCGCUUACCGCGUGGAGAGCGCUAUACAAUUGUAGAGAAGUUCCGACGGACGUACUCGGAGACGGAGACAUCUUUGAAGCGCAGGACCGGGCGACCAGUGGCCCGCGUGCCUGAUGCCAGCUCGCCGUACAAGACGUCCUUGGGUGUCCAAACCAUCUCAGGCGCCUCUGACUGAGCAGAGAGUACAUGCUGGGAAUGUUGGCCAAGUUGAGGACUGAGGUGUUGGGAACGCGAUCUUGCCAUCUGAUGCCGAGGAUACGCCAGAGACAGCGGAGCACGUGAAAACUAUCCAAUAAGCAGAGGAGGACAAUCAGAAGCUCGCCCAAUGAAACCAGUCAAGUAGGCGGCCCUGGCAGUGUCGCGAGGAUGAACAAGG